GAUGAAGAACGCAGCGAAAUGCGAUAAGUAAUGUGAAUUGCAGAAUUCAGUGAACCAUCGAAUCUUUGAACGCACAUUGCGCCCGGCAGUAAUCUGCCGGGCAUGCCUGUCCGAGCGUCAUUUCUGCCCUCGAGCGAGUCCAGCAUCUAGGUGCUGGGCCCGCCCGGCGUUGGGGCACUACGGGAAGCCCUGUGCUGUCCCCCGUGGGCCCCGAAAUGAAGUGGCGGUCCUGCCGCGGCGCCCCCUGCGUAGUAUAACAGCUCGCUUCGGGACCCGGUGGAGGCCUGCCGUCAAACCUUACUCUCUAAGUUUGACCUCGGAUCAGGUAGGGUUACCCGCUGAACUUAAGCAUAUCAAUAAGCGGAGGA
rnacentral:misc_RNA from 1 species